rnacentral:rRNA from 1 species
CGCGGUAUUUUGACUGUGCGAAGGUAGCAUAAUCAUUUGUCUUUUAAUUGAAGACUUGUAUGAAUGGCUGAACGAGAAAAUAACUGUCUCUUUAAAAAAUUUUGAAUUUUACUUUUAAGUGAAAAGGCUUAAAUAAUUUUAAGGGACGAUAAGACCCUAUAAAUCUUUAUAUUAUUUUUCUUUAAUUUUCAAAUUAUAUAUUAAAAGAAAUAAAAGAAAAAAAUAUUGUAUUGGGGAGAUAAAAAUAUAAUUUUUAACUGUUUAAAAUAUAAAACAAUAAUUUUUGAUUCAUUAAAAAUUGAUCCUUUUUUAAAGAUUUUAAGAUUAAGUUACUUUAGGGAUAACAGCGUAAUUUUUUUUGAGAGUUCUUAUCGAAAAAAAAGUUUGCGACCUCGAUGUUGAAUUAAAAUAUCCUUAUAAGUGUAGAAGCUAUAAAGGAAAGUCUGUUCGACUUUUAAAAUUUUACAU